UCUUUAUAUCCAAUUUGAAUCUCCCCACUUUUAGUUUGAAGCCAUUUCUCCCUGUCCUGUCAUAGCACACCCUGUUAAACUGUCACGCACCUUUUAUGUAACCUACUCUUGGGAGCCCACAUUUGCUUGGAGGUUGGACAAGAUGAUCUCCAGAGUUCCCUUCCAACCUCUAUGAUUCUUUUAUUCUGUAGGAACCUGCUGCUUGACUCACCAGCAUCCCCAAGACCAGGAGAAUGAACUGAACUCUGAACACAGAGAAAAAGUACCACAGAAUUUCACAAGCGUUGCCUUCUUCUUGGGACAAAUAUGAGAGAAAAAGUGGGAAAAAAGAAAAAACUCUUCUUAAAAGUUGCUGAUUUUUUACCAGAAAAUGGUUCUUUUGUUUUUGAAUUAGUGGCAAGACAUGAAUUUCACUUUCCCAGCUCUGCCUUGGCACUAGUACCAUAUUGCUGCCUGGAAGGUUAUUCAAAAAUUCUGUGUGCCUCCAUCCCUGCCACUGGUGGUCCAGAAUGAGCUGAGCUGAGAUGAUUGUUUGCUCAUCAGAUUCCCGAAACAGUCCAAUUUCACAAUCCUACAGCCUACAUGAUGCUAAUGGCACAAGAUUCCUGGCAGAGGUUUGACUUCUGUUAAUUGCUGAGACAGCAGGAAUGGAGGGAGUUUUUGGGAUGGAGGGGAGGAGCCAGGGCUGUGGGGAAUUCUCAAAUACCCCGUUACUUGGGUACAUGUCCUGCUUCCUUCCUGCAGUGUUCACUGUGAUCAACAUGGGGUUCAUUCUCCUGCCAUGUCUUUGGGCUUCCCUUGCUGGAGUCCUGUUGGCAGGAAAUAGUGAAGCUAUUCAACUGCGAUUAGUAAAUGGUAGAAAUCACUGCUCUGGGAGAGUGGAGGUGCUUUAUGACCAGCAAUGGGGAACGGUCUGUGACGAUAACUGGGAUCUAAUUGAUGCUGAAGUUGUGUGCCGUCAGCUGGGCUGUGGGACAGCCCUAUCUGCUGCUUCCUCAGCUUAUUUUGGAAGAGGAUCUGACCCCAUUUGGCUUGAUGAUGUUAAUUGUAAAGGAACUGAAGCUGCCCUGUCUGAAUGCACUGCAAAACCUUGGGGAAAACAUGACUGUGGGCAUGGAGAAGAUGCUGGUGUUGUAUGCUCAGGUAACUCUCAUCCUACAUGACACAACUGA